CGGCCACUCAUCAACACACAGAGUCUUGUCAUCCCCCUCCGGUUGAGCAAACUGCAAAGACAUACUAUCAUACCAAUGUACAAACCUCAUGAGGAAGGAUCCGCACGGAAGACUGAUCCCAGUCCUCAGGCGCAUCCCAGGACUCAGUUUCCUUGAAGGGGUCAAGGGGACGUGGACGUGAAACUUCUCCCUUCACAACCACGGUGGUAGCAAAGGGUCUCACAGUCGGGGGUGACUUGGGAGGAGAGACAGGCGGUGGUGUAACAGGCAGAGGUGACUGUAGCUGCCGAAAGGAGAAGUGCCACAGAAGCUUGGCGAGAAGCGGCAUCCCCAGAUCGUCACUCAG
ensembl:lncRNA